CUAGUACUCCCUCCGUCCGGAAAUACUUGUCCCCAAAAUGGUUGUAUCUAGACUUCUUUUUGUUAUAGAUACAUCCAUUUUAUCCAUUUCUAGGACAAGUAUUUUCGGAUAGAGGGAGUACUAG
rfam:Triticum aestivum genome assembly, contig: Triticum_aestivum_CS42_TGACv1_scaffold_407806_5BL